GUUCGUUUUUAAAAUUAGUAAAUAAUUUAAAUUAGUUUGUGAAGUUACACCAAGGUACAAAAAUGGAGUUUCAGCACGUACCGACACGUAAAUUAAUGAAUUUAUCAAUACUGUUACCUUUAUUAAAGAUUAGCUAUGUUUUAACAUUUUAACAUUUUCAUCUGUAUAUAUUUCUAGGAUUAAGUGCUUGUGCAUAAUAAACGGACUUAUCUUGCUCGAAAUCCCACUUCCACCUCAUCGUUGGUGAGCAGAGGACUAAGACUAACGGAAUGAGUACUUAUACUUGUAAAUGAUUGAACACAUUACAAAUAAAUAAGUAUUAUUACCUGUACUUUACCUGAGUUUACCUGUCAAAAAAAUGUGCGCAAUUGUAAUCAAAAGCUGCGCGCAAACGUAAUGAUUUUUGCGCGCAAAUGUAAUGGUAAUGCGCGCAAACGUAAUGCACCGA
rnacentral:lncRNA from 1 species